rnacentral:rRNA from 1 species
GACGAGGGAUCCUAGCGUUGUUCGGAAUCAUUGGGCGUAAAGCGUGUGUAGGUGGCUUUGUAAGUCAGGUGUGAAAGCCUAGGGCUCAACCCUAGAAGUGCAUUUGAUACUGCGAAGCUUGAGUGCUAGAGAGGUUACUAGAAUUGUUGGUGUAGUGGUGAAAUACGUAGAUAUCAACAGGAAUACCGGUGGCGAAGGCGGGUAACUGGCUAGACACUGACACUCAGACCCGAAAGCGUGGGGAGCAAACAGG